CAAUCCAAGGAUUAUUUUGACAUAUAGAUGUUGAUGUCCCAAGCUGAAUUUCAAGAUACUCGUGGCAGGAAUUUCCCCCAUAAGUGUUGUGGUUUAAUUCGCUAUACUGUUAGAAUUUCGCGAGGAAGGCGUCUGUCGCCGCCUCACCGGGGUGGUGCUGAGUCAACUAAAAGUCUGAGGCACUAAUAUGUGUGCAUUACCUACUGCUGUAUAUUUUUCAGUCAUGCACUCUGUUCUCUUAAUGAUUAACUGUGAACGAAAUGGAUCAGGGCAAUAAUGCUCAUGUGCUAGAACAGAACUCUAGAAACUUGAAUGGAAAGAAGCUUUAAAGCAGGGUAUUACUGAUAAAUUAUGUUGCAUAUUGUUAUUAUAAGUCGUAUAGGUUGCCAAAGUGAUGGCAUAAGGUCACGGUCUCUUAAAAUGUGCUUAACCUGAUUAUCUCAUCACUUGAUUGAUAUGAACAAAUGGUAAAUUCUGUAGCUUUUAAUAAUGGUGGUGCAGGCUGCAGGCUAAAAUUGAGCAUGUUAAUGUAUCAGGGAAGACUGCAUUCUGAGAUCAAUCGACAUGUUAAUCUGGAAUAAAAGAAAAUAGCACUAAGCUUCUCAACAUGGACAUUCUCGACAGCUAGUAGAUCAUAUGCAUUUUACUGAAGUCGGAGUAAUGCCAGUUCUCCACUCAGCGCAAUGUCCCUGUGAAACGUAUAUGAUUCUACUCUUCAUUGAUGCAACUGAUGUACUGCCACACAAGGACAAAUACUUUAGUUGUGUACUAUAGGAAAAACAUGAUUCUUCCAUCCUGAGACUGGGUGAGGUGUUUGUUUUGGAACUUUGUACGUAAUCCAUUAACAGCGGUAUCAAAUGACGCUGAAUCUUGUUUGGUUAGUUUUGGCUGUAAUCACAAACCAUGGGAUCAGCUACCGAUCAAAAUCGUGUCGUAACAGAAA